AAUGAACGCUGGCGGCAGGCCUAACACAUGCAAGUCGAACGGAUCCUUCGGGAUUAGUGGCGGACGGGUGAGUAACGCGUGGGAACAUACCCUUUGGUACGGAAUAGCCUCGGGAAACUGGGAGUAAUACCGUAUGUGGUCGAGAGACGAAAGAUUUAUCGCCAAAGGAUUGGCCCGCGUUGGAUUAGGUAGUUGGUGGGGUAAUGGCCUACCAAGCCGACGAUCCAUAGCUGGUUUGAGAGGAUGAUCAGCCACACUUGGACUGAGACACGGCCCAGACUCCUACGGGAGGCAGCAGUGGGGAAGCUAGACAAUGGGGGAAACCCUGAUCUAGCCAUGCCGCGUGAUCGAUGAAGGCCUUAGGGUUGUAAAGAUCUUUCAGGUGGGAAGAUAAUGACUGUACCACCAGAAGAAGCCCCGGCUAACUCCGUGCCAGCCGCCGCGGUAAUAC
rnacentral:rRNA from 1 species